rnacentral:rRNA from 1 species
UCUGGUUGAUCCUGCCAGUAGUCAUAUGCUUGUCUCAAAGAUUAAGCCAUGCAUGUCUAAGUACAAACCUUAAUACGGUGAAACCGCGAAUGGCUCAUUAAAUCAGCUAUGGUUCCUUAGAUCGUCUCAUCCUACUCGGAUAACUGUGGAAAAUCUAGAGCUAAUACGUGCUUACAAGCCCUGACCUCACGGGAGGGGCGCAUUUAUUAGAUCAAAACCAAUCGGGGCUUGCCCCGUCUGCUUGGUGACUCUGGAUAACUUUUGUGCUGAUCGCAUGGCCUCUGCGCUGGCGACGUAUCUUUCAAGUGUCUGCCCUAUCAACUUACGAUGGUAGGUGAUAUGCCUACCAUGGUUAUAACGGGUAACGGGGAAUCAGGGUUCGAUUCCGGAGAGGGAGCCUGAGAAACGGCUACCACAUCUAAGGAAGGCAGCAGGCGCGCAAAUUACCCACUCCCGGCACGGGGAGGUAGUGACGAAAAAUAACGAUACGGGACUCUUUUGAGGCCCCGUAAUUGGAAUGAGUACACUUUAAAUCCGUUAACAAGUAUCUAUUGGAGGGCAAGUCUGGUGCCAGCAGCCGCGGUAAUUCCAGCUCCAAUAGCGUAUAUUAAUGUUGCUGCAGUUAAAAAGCUCGUAGUUGGAUCUGAGGACUCGAAUUGGUGGUGCACCAUACGGUGUUACUGCCGAUUCGGCCUACCUAGUCGGUGCUCGCUCUUGGUGUUCUUAAUUGAAUGCCCUGAGUGCCCGGCAAGUUUACUUUGAAAAAAUUAGAGUGCUCAAAGCAGGCCAUUAGCCGGAAUACUUCAGCAUGGAAUAAUGGAAUAGGACUUCGGUUCUAUUUUGUUGGUUUUCGGAACCCGAGGUAAUGAUUAAGAGAGACAGACGGGGGCAUUCGUACUGCGGUGUUAGAGGUGAAAUUCUUGGAUCGCCGCAAGACGAACAACUGCGAAAGCAUUUGCCAAGAAUGUUUUCAUUAAUCAAGAACGAAAGUCAGAGGUUCGAAGACGAUCAGAUACCGUCCUAGUUCUGACCAUAAACGAUGCCAACUGGCGAUCCGAGAUCGUUUGCUUAUUGACCUCUCGGGCAGCCUCCGGGAAACCAAAGUUUUUAGGUUCCGGGGGAAGUAUGGUUGCAAAGCUGGCAAAGCUGGAACUGUUCAAUUGCAACUCUGCCUGUGACACCAAGUGGUCGGGUUACUUGGUCUGUUCUGGCCCGGAGUCGGUAGGGUUUCCGGCCUUGUGCUCUUUCCUUACUGUUCUCUGUAACGCCGAAGGCGGGGCUUCCACGGUGGGGAAGCGGUUGUACAAAUCCGGCAAAUCCAGCCAAAUGGGUUCCGGACUCUGUCCAACCUGCAACUGGUAACAGCCUCGGCUGGCUAACAUUUGAGCUGGGACUCGCUUGGGAGGAGCGAGGAUAAUAUAAACCUCUAUGUGACUGAGGUGAGGAAUCUGGUUCUCGUAAAAUGGCUGGAGAUCCCGAGCCUGUAAGUCAUAAAUUAGUUCCCCACGAGGGGAGGUGUCGAAUUGAAGCCAGUGCGUGCCCUUACUAGUUUAAGGGAUUGUAUACUUCCUUUGGUGUACCCACCUGGAAGUGCCCAAGGGGUCCUAUCCCUGCACU